rnacentral:rRNA from 1 species
UGGGGAAUCUUAGACAAUGGGGGAAACCCUGAUCUAGCCAUGCCGCGUGAUCGAUGAAGGCCUUAGGGUUGUAAAGAUCUUUCAGUUGGGAAGAUAAUGACGGUACCAACAGAAGAAGCCCCGGCUAACUCCGUGCCAGCAGCCGCGGUAAUACGGAGGGGCUAGCGUUAUUCGGAAUUACUGGGCGUAAAGCGCACGUAGGCGGACUGGAAAGUCAGAGGUGAAAGCCCAGGGCUCAACCCUGGAACUG